GGAUCAAGAGAAUGUGCUCACUAAAUUUGGAAUGUUACAGAAAAGAUUAGCAUGGCUCCUACACAAGGAUGACAUUCCAAUUCAUGAAGACUACAAAGAGAAU